rnacentral:lncRNA from 10 species
CAGACUGCAGUGCAGUGGCAUGAUCUUGGCUCACUUCAACCUUCACCUCCUGGGCUCAAGCAACGCUCCCGCCUCAGCCUCCUGAGUAGCUGGGACUAGAGGAAAAACACACAAAUGAUUUUAAAACAGAGCCAAUUACCUUUGAUAGACUUUCCCCUGCUUUUAACAGAAGUUUCCUGGAGUAAUGACCCUACUGUGCUCUGAAAAAGACCAUCCAUUUCCUCUGAUCUGGUCUUAUAUCUUCUAAUUGUGUCACUGACCAAUGGCUUCAACUGCUGCUGAUUCUGUUUUUUGAGGACACAUUCUCCUCACUCCUACUUUUCUCAGUGAUGUUUACAGCAUACAAACCAAACUGCAUGUGAAAUAUUGCCCACCUGCAAAAGCUCUCAAAGGGCACUAAAUGAGGUAACCAUGACAUGCAAGAAUGAUUGUUUCUGGGAUAAGAGGAUGGAGUUACACAAAGACAAUACUCUCUAGGAGUUAAUUUUAGGAGAUUAUAUAUAAUCCUUCCUCAGAAGUGUGUUGCAAAAUCUUCUCUACGUGACUUAAAUAAAACAAAACCUCUUUAGAAGAAAAUAUAUGAAGCUAUCUUCACAUCCUCUGGAUAAAAAAGAUGGAAAAUGCAGUCUAAAGAGAUGAGGGGACUUCUCCUGUGUCAUGCAUGUGGAUAUAAGCAGAGUAAAGCCUAGAUGGUGGGCAUUUCCAGAUUGGAUUUGUCUGGCAUGGAAUUCAGAAAGAAGACUAACUCUGAGAAGUAGAAAGUGAUGAAAAUGUAUGUUAUGUCGAUCAAAUUAGUGCAUGAGUCCUGGAGGCAUGAAUGCAAGAAAGAACGGAGUCUUUUCUCAGUAAUGCUCUAAAGGUCUUUGUGAGCCAUACUGAAGUGGCCAAAUUAAAGAACAGCACCCACUAAAAAACAGCACCCAUUUAGCAUGAAGAACAGGCCACCCACUGAAGAUGAAAAGGAUGAGAGGAGAUUCUUUUCUGGAACCAGGAAGAAUGGAGGGUAGAGACUAAUGAGGGUCAAAGAGUGAGAGAAUAAGAUCCUAUCUUUAUCCCAAAUGUGGGACCAGAGGAAGAAUUUCCCAAACUGCAGCACGAUUCAGAGGACUCUGAGAAUAGAAGCCGUGAGUCUUAUCAUUUAUAAAUACUGGGGAGAGUGUACAGACAUAGCUCAUUUUAUUGUGCUUCAGUUUAUUGAAUAUUUUACAAAUUGAAAAUUUGUGGCAACCCUGCAUCAAGUGAGGCUAUUGGCACAAUUUUUGCAACAGCAUCUGCUCACUUUGUGAUGCUGUGUCACAUUUUGGUAAUUCUCAAAAUACUUCAGACUUUUUCUUUAUUAUUACAUAUUUUAUGGCGAUCUGUAGAUCAGCAGUCUUUGAUGUUACUAUUUGAAUGUUUUGGUGUGUCAUGAACUAUACUCAUAUGACAGCAAACUUAAUUGAUAAAUGUUGUUUAUGUGUGAAUGCUGUGCUGAUCAGAUGAUCCCCUGUCUCUCUCCCUCUUCCUGACCUCUCUAUUUUGAGACAGAGCAAUAUUGAAAUUAGGCCAGUCAGUCACCAUACAAGGCCUCUAAGUGUUCAAGUAAAAGGAAGAGUCACAUGUCACUCACUUUAAACUGAAAGCUAGAAAUGAUUAAGCUUAGGGAGGAAGCCAUAUCGAAGACCAGAAUAGGCUAAAAUCUAGGUCUUUUGCAACAGUUAGUUAAAUUGUGAAUGCAAAGGGAAAGUUCUUGGAAAUUAAAAGUGCUACUCUAUUGAACACACGGAUAAUAAGAAAGCAAAGCAGCCUUACUUUUGAUAUAGAGAAAAUUUUAAUGGUCUGCAUAAAAGAUCAAACCAGUCACAACAUUCUCUUAAGCCAAAGCUUAAUCCUGAGCAAGGUUCUAACUGUCUUCAAUUCUGUGAAGGUGGGGAGAAGUGAGAAAGCUGCAGAAGAAAAGUUUAAAGCUAGUGGAAGUUAGUUUAUGAGGUUUAAGGAAAGAAACUAUCUCCAAAUCUUAAAAGUGCAAUGUGAAGUAGCAAGUGCUGAUGUAGAAGCUGCAGGAAGUUAUCCAGAAGACAUAGCUAAGAUCAUUGAUGAAGGUGGCUACAUUAAACAACAGAUUUUAAAUGUAGACCAAACAGCCUUGUACUGGAAGAAGAUGCCACCUAGGACUUUCAUAGCUAGAGCAGAGAAGUUAAUGUCUGGUUUCAAAUGAUGGGCUGACUCUGUUGUUAUGGUCUAAUAGAGCUGGCAACUUAAGUUAACUCCAAUUAUAAUUUACCAUAUUCAAAAUCAUAGAGCCCUUAAAAUGGGCAAAAUAUCCACUGCCUGUGCUCUAGAAAUGAAACAACAAAGCCUGGAUGACAGUAUAUCUGUUGCAUGGCUUACUGAAAAUUUGAAGCCCACUGUUGAGACCUACUGCUCAGCAUAAAAUAUUCCUUUCAAAUAUUACUCCUCAUUGACAAUGCAUCUUGUUACCUAAGAGCUCUCAUGGAGACAUACAAGAAAAUUUAUGGUGUUUUAGUGCUUGCUAGAACAACAUCCACUUGGUAGCUCAUGAAUCAAAGAGUAAUUUCAAAUUUCAAGUUUUAUUAUUUCUGAACUACAUUUUGUAAGGUUAUAACUUCCAUAGAUCAUUAUUCUUGUGAUCGAUCUUGGCAAAGUAAAUUGACAACAUUCUGGAAAAGAUUUACCAUUCUAGAUGCCAUUAAGAAUAUUUGUGAUUCAUGGGUUGGUGGGGGAGUGGUAAAAAAUUAACAUUAAUAGGAGUUUGGAGGAAGUUGAUUCCAACCCUCAUGGAUGACUUCAAGGGGUUCAAGCCUUCAGUAGAGGAAAUAACUGCAGAUAUGGUGGAAAUUACAAGAGAACUAGAAUUAGAAGUGGAGGCUGAAGAUGUGACUGAAUUGCUGCAAUCUCAUGAUAAAACUUGAGCAGGUGAGGAGUUACUUCAUAAGGAUGAGCAAAUAAAGUGGUUUCCUGAGAUGGAAUCUGCUCCUCAUAAAGAUGCUGUAGAAAUUGUUGAAAUGAUAACGAAAUAUUUAGAAUAUUGCAUAAACUUAAUUGAUAAGGCAGCAGAAGGGUUUGAGAUAAUUAAUCACGAUUUUGAAAGAAGUUCAUUGUAAAAUUUGAUCAAACAGCAUCCAUGCUAUAAGAAAUCUUUCAUGAAAGGAAGAGUCAAUCGUUGAAGUUAAUUUUACUGUUAUCUUAUUACAAGGAAUUGCCACAGUCACCUCCACCUUCAGCAACUACCAUUCUUAUCAGUCAGGAGCCAUCAACAUCCAAUCUUUCAUCAGCAAAAAGAUUGCAACUUGCUGAAGGCUCAGAUGAUUGUUAGCAUUUAACAAUAAAUUAUUUUUUAGGGUAUGUGCAUUAUAUUUUAGACAUUGUUCUAUUGCUAUUGCUCACUUAAUAGAUUACGGUAUAGUGUAAACAUAACUUCUACCUGCACUGGGAAACUAAAAAGUUCAUGUGACUCAGUUUCUGUUGAUAUUUGCUUGAUUUUGGUAGCCUAGAAUCGAACAUGCAUUAUCUCUGAGGUAUGCCUGUAUAGUAAUCUCAUAAAUAUAAAUAUUACUAAACUCAUUUUAUUGUGUUUAUAAUAAAAUUCAAAUGAUUAAUAUCAGAACUAUAAUUCAAACAGAAGUAUAAAAUAUUGAGAAUCACCAUGAGGUCAUCUUUCACAAAGAAACAACACAAUAAACCAACCUCAGAACUGGCAUGUGUAAUGGCAGAAAUUGUUCUAAGCUUCAGCAAUAAAAUCAGACACUUGUGGUAUUAUUCUUUUGAGAAUUUUGGGAGAUUUGCAUUACUUGCUUGGAACACACAUUAUACUUCUUCAUUUAAAAUUAGACACAAGCCUGGGCAUAGUGGCUCAUUCUUGUAAUCAUAGCACUUUGGGAGGUUGAAGUUGAGGAUUGCUUGAGCUCAGGAGUUGAAGACCAGCCUGGGAAACAUAGUGAGACCUUGCCUCUACUAAAAAAUUUUAAAAAUUAUCUGGGUGUAGUGGCAUGUGCCUGUAGUCCCAGCUACUUGGGAGUCUGAGGCAGGAGGAUCGCUUGAGCCCAGCAGGUUGAGGCUGAGUGAGCUGUGUGUGAUUGUGCCAUUGCACUCCAGCCUGAGUGACAGAGUGAGAGCCUGUCUCAAAAAUUAAAUUAAUUAAUUAAACACAUCGUUUUAUAAAAUAUUUUCUCUACAUAUUCUGGGAAUGAUAAUUUUAUAUAAAGAAAGAUCAUGAUGACUUAUUUACAACGAAAUGAUAAAACAAAUCUAGGAGUAAUUUAUCACAUAAAAACCAUUUUCUUCACCUACAUCAUGGCAAAAUUAACUUUUGGAAGUAUAUUCACUGCCAUGCUUUUGUAAACUACAUGAAAUUGACCAAUAGUUCUUGGGUUAUGUCUACAUAGGUAAAUGAAAAUGGAAAGUUGGGAUAAUUUGAAGGUUUUUUUUAAAAUAGUAUUAUGACACUUGAGUAAAGCAUAGAUUUGGGCAUUGUGGUCUCUACAUAUUUCACCUUACUAGGGAAAUUUCUUAGAUAUAUACCCAACCCUAUUCUUUGCUUUCUUUGUAUAAAUUUGACUGAAAUUUUAAGGGCAAAGAUUUACUUAAUUAUGUGUAAUGGCCCUUGUAAUAUUAUUCUGUAGAAUUAUAAGAUGAGAAAACAUGUAGUAUUUCAACUCUCUAAUUGUCUAAAAAUAGGUCACUUCAUCUUUAAGUUUGGACAUUAAUGAGUUGUCUACAUUCCUGUGGCAAGCCUUCCUACCACAGCAACAGCAAAACGUUCUCAUUUAAGGAAGAUCAAUAGCUGUACACAUUUUUUCUUUUAUACAGUCCGGUUUACAAUUCACUUUUAAUAUCAUUUAAAAGUGCAUAAGCAAAUCCUACAUGACAGUUUUAUUACCAUUGUAAUAUCUCAAGUUUAAUUUUUGGCAGUAAAUAUAGUCUGGUACAAACUUAGAAGCAAAAAGAAAAAAAAAGAAACUGGAGUUUAAGUGUAUUUUUUAUUUAUAUAGUACUUUUACUUCUGGGGGUGAAUGUCAUUUUUGUACAAAACACCUGUUCAUGUGAUGAAUUUGAAAAAGUUUCAUAUUCAAAUAACCUCCAGAAGUUUUAUUUUAUUUGUUUUCAACCUACAUUACAUUUCAGGAAGCCUGCCAAAGUUUAUAAUUAUAUUUUUGAAAGGUUUCACAUGGAGUUAUCAUUGGUAUAUGAGUAGAUUUUAAUUUACCCAGUCUACUAAUUUACAUUUUUAAAAAACCCCACAUUAAUUGUAGAGUACAGGGAACAAAAUAUAGUUAUUUUACCUUUGAAGGCAUGCGUGAUCACUAAUAUAGAUGUUUAGAAUCUACCAGAGAAGGAGAAAAACAAGUUUAAAGUCAGAACUCUGGGAUCAUACAUGCUUUGGAUUUUACUUUUUGCACUGCCUGUUAACAUUUGGCCAGUCUGAGCAGGGCAAUUUAUUCUCUCCACGGUUCAAUUUCUUUAUCCGUAAAAGAGGGUGAAAAUAGUCUUUGCCUCACAGAAUUACUAUAAGAAUAAUUAUAAUUAUAUUUUCAAAAAUUAUUCACUUUUGAAACAUGAUAAAAUAUAUGCUCAUGUAGGAUUCACAAGGAUAAUGGCUGAGCAAGUGAUAAGUGAACAAGUUACUGGAUUUUUCUAACCUGUUUAUCAAUACUGGACAAUGAUAGUUGUCUUUUUUGUUGUUAUUCCAUUUUACCUCUCGUUUUUGUGCUACAGAUGAAAGCAUGUAGGUAACAACUCUUGACACCUUUGAGUAAAGCAAGAAAAUAAUAGAAAUAUUACUAUUGCUGUUGCUUUUCUUUAUAGAAAAGACUCAAGGCAAACACAGAAAUAAUUGCUGUGUUAUGUAUGUGUAUUUAAAAGAAUUGACUGUUUUCAAUGGCCUGAUUGUCUAAUGUAUUUUAUUUUUCUUAGUUUUGUGUUCAGAAAAACUGUGUAUUUCUGCAAUAGUUCCAUUUUGUAGUGCAUUCUGACCAUUAUGUAUUUUAGUAAUCCAAUCAGUAAAGCUUUUAAUUUCUCGCUGUGUUUGGAAGCUGCUUUGGCCAAGGAUUUGACAUCCAGCAGGGUGGCGUCCACUUGCUCUUGGCAUCCAGUAAAGAAUGACUGAACAGCAUGCUCGGGGUAUAUCAUUAGUACCAUGUAAAAACCUUAUGAUUUACUUAAUGGCAUUUCUAUGCCCCGUAUUUUAUUAUUUUCAAAUGGUGUCAUGCCGUGUCUGUUUCAAAUCAUGUCCUCUUAAAACUUUUUGGUUUCUUCAUGUUAUCAAUUUAGGAUACUUUAAAAAUAAGUUGUUAAAGCAUAUUUGAGUUUUCAGUGCUGUAUUAAAACAUUUUUAUUAUGCAGUAAAAUUGGUUAUGUGGAGUAUUUACAUUUAAAAUUAAAUCAGUAAAGAUGUCUUAAGGAAAUGAACGAGAUGGCUGCA